AGAAUCAACGCUGGCGGCGUGCCUAACACAUGCAAGUCGAACGAGAAAGUGGAGCAAUCCAUGAGUAAAGUGGCGACCGGGUGAGUAACACGUGACUAACCUACCUUCGAGUGGGGAUAACCUCGGGAAACCGAGGCUAAUACCGCAUAACAUCGCAAGAUCAAAGCAGCAAUGCGCUGGAAGAGGGGGUCGCGGCUGAUUAGCUAGUUGGCGGGGUAACGGCCCACCAAGGCGAAGAUCGGUAUCCGGCCUGAGAGGGCGCACGGACACACUGGAACUGAAACACGGUCCAGACUCCUACGGGAGGCAGCAGUGGGGAAUUUUGCGCAAUGGGGGAAACCCUGACGCAGCAACGCCGCGUGGAGGAUGAAGCCCCUUGGGGCGUAAACUCCUUUCGACCAAGACGAUAAUGACGGUACUGGUGGAAGAAGCACCGGCUAACUCUGUGCCAGCAGCCGC
rnacentral:rRNA from 1 species